UACGUAGGGGGGCAAGCGUUGUCCGGAUUCAUUGGGCGUAAAGAGCGUGUAGGCGGCCAGGUAGGUCGGUUGUGAAAAACUGGAGGCUCAACCUUCAGAGGUCGACCGAAACCAUCUGGCUAGAGUCCGGGAGAGGAGAGUGGAAUUCCUGGUGUAGCGGUGAAAUGCGCAGAUAUCAGGAAGAACACCCGUGGCGAAAAGCGGCUCUCUGGAACGGUACUGACGCUGAGACGCGAAAAGCGUGGGGGAGCGAACAGG
rnacentral:rRNA from 1 species